UCGGCGGGCCGAGCCGCCCCUUUCUCCCGCCCCUCCUCCUCCCUUUCCCACCCCUCGGAGUGGAGCUGCACAUGCGGCUGCUCCCAGUUCCGUCCCGCCCAGCCACCGUCGCGCAGGAACGGGUCCCUGCAGCCCCCAGCCGAUGGCAGGACAGUAGCCGCCUGUCAGGGGUCGUGAACGGCUGAGACAGACGCAGCGGCUCCCGGGCCUCAGAGAGUGGGUGUCUCCAGAGGCCAUGGGCUACCCUGAGGUAGAGCGCAAAGAACCCCUGCCUGCGGCAGCGCCAGCGCCAGCGCCAGCGCCACGGGAGCGGGGCAGCCAGGGCUGCGGCUGUCGCGGGGCCCCUGCCCGGGCGGGCGAAGGGAACAGCUGCCGGCUCUUCCUGGGUUUCUUUGGCCUCUCGCUGGCCCUCCACCUGCUGACGUUGUGCUGCUACCUAGAGUUGCGGUCCGAGUUGCGGCGGGAACGGGGAGCCGAGUCCCGCCUUGGCGGCCCUGGCACGCCUGGCACCUCUGGCACCCUGAGCAACCCUGGUGGCCUCGACCGCGAUGGUCCCAUCACCCGCCACCUCGGGCAGCAGUCACCUCGGCAGCAACUGUUGGAGCCAGGAGAAACCACACUCCCCCCUGACUCCCAGGACCGGCACCAGGUGAGUCACCUUGUCGGGGCGGCGUCGGCCCCCUCCCCUUGUAGGUACGGAGGGGGCCCUCCACCUCCCUCCAGGGGCGGGGGGACUCGGCCACUUGGAGCCAAGUGAGAGAGCAGGACCAGGGCGGGGUCGGGCGAGCAGGAGAGAAGUUGUCCGGGGCAGGUUGUCCUCUGUCCCCGGCCGGCUCAUCCAGACGCUCUCAGGUCCCAGGGACUUGCAAACCCUCGCCCGCGCCCGCCGCCCCCGGCUCCAGGCUGCUUUGGGAAAGUUGGCUACGCUCCCGCCUGGGCCGGCGAUUGGUGCCCGCGCUGCCCCCCUGGCCGACUAACGGCGAGCAGCCUGUGGCCCUCGUGCUCCCGGGACUUUCUCUGCCUCCGCCGCGGUGCUUGUUUUUUUCGUGUCCGAGCCGAUGCCAGCACUCGCAGGCUCUCCUUUGGAGCUGGACUGUAAACAGCUGGAAGAAGUGCUCCACGCCCGUGGAAACAACUUCUAACCACACUCUCAGCCGGGUCCUUGGGGCGCUGACCACAACGUGGGCUUGUUCACACUUACCUGCAAUUUGACACUGAUUGUCCUCGGCGUUGUAGUGAGGAUCAGCGCCCCGGAGGA